ensembl:lncRNA
AUGCAGCUGCAAAUUGGUAUUGGACUGAAAGACAGAGGCAUAAGUCGUCAGAAACCUCAGACAGCAAAGAAACGAAGGCAGCUUCACCAGAGACAGCUCUGGCCAGUUGGUCAAAAGAACUCUCUGCUGAAGAGAAGCAGCGAUUUGCGGGGGCAACUGAAGGCAUGGUGUCAUGACCCAGAGGACCCUGAUGCAUGUGGAAUAUCAAAUAAAAUUGUAUUCAUCAAUGCAUCGAAUCCCCACCCUGGCGCUCCCCUGAGUUUGAGGGAGCCAAGCCUGCUUAUGGGCAGAAAAAGCACAGUCAGAACAAAAACCGGAGCAAUUCUUUACCUCCACUGCAGCCCUACCUAGAACAUCUGAUUGUUCAAUAGACCACAGACAGUCACCUGCCCAUUAGAGAGUAUUUUCAAUGACUCUUCACACCUGCUCUGAAGAAACUUUUUGCACUGACUCCCACUCACACACCCACCCUUACAUACAGUGCCUUCAGAAAGUAUUCACACCCCUUGACUUUUUUCACGUUGUUGUGUUACAGCCUGAAUUUAAAAUGUAUGAAAUUGAGAUUUUAUGUCACUAGCCUACACACAAU